rnacentral:misc_RNA from 1 species
GAUGAAGAACGUAGCGAAACGCGAUAAGUAAUGUGAAUUGCAGAAUUCAGUGAAUCAUCGAAUCUUUGAACGCACAUUGCGCCCGCCAGUAUUCUGGCGGGCAUGCCUGUUCGAGCGUCAUUUCAACCAUCAAGCCCUGCUUGCGUUGGGGUCCUGCGGCUGCCCGCAGGCCCUGAAAACCAGUGGCGGGCUCGCUAGUCACACCGAGCGCAGUAAUACAUCUCGCUUUGGGCGUGCGGCGGGUUCUUGCCGUUAAACACCCCCUUUUUACCAAGGUUGACCUCGGAUCAGGUAGGAAUACCCGCUGAACUUAAGCAUAUCAAUAAGCGGAGGA